GUCUUACGACCCUAAACAACAAAAUUAAAUUUAAUAAAGAAAACUAAAAUUUA
rnacentral:rRNA from 1 species